rnacentral:miRNA from 1 species
AAUAUAGGAUGCCCAGUUAAAUUUGAAAUUCAGAUAAGCAAUGAUUUUUUUAAGUAUAAGUAUGCCCCAUGCAAUAUUUUGGACAUACUUAUACUAAAAUUAGUCUGUAUUAAUCUGAAAUUCAAGUUUGACUGGAAGUCCUAUAUUUU